AAUGAGAGAGAAGAAAGAGAAGAACAAGAGAAAAGUAGAAGAGGAGUUAAAAGAAAAGUCAUUUGAGGUUUACACCUAAACCCUUGCUCCUUCAGUUUCUCUCUUUUUCUUUUUUU
rnacentral:ribozyme from 13 species